UACGGAGGGUGCAAGCGUUGUCCGGAAUCACUGGGCGGAAAGGGCGCGUAGGCGGCCCGGUAAGUAGGGGGUGAAAUCCUGCGGCUUAACCGCAGGGCUGCCUUCUAAACUGUCGGGCUCGAGCACGGUAGAGGCAGAUGGAAUUCCCGGUGUAGCGGUGGAAUGCGUAGAGAUCGGGAAGAACAUCAGUGGCGAAGGCGGUCUGCUGGGCCGUUGCUGACGCUGAGGCGCGACAGCGUGGGGAGCAAACAGG
rnacentral:rRNA from 1 species